AAAUACUUUACAAGUUUAAAAUUACAAAUCAUUCCAGCCAAGUGCAUUUAACAUUUAAAAGCAAUAGGAUAUUAAAUUAUUGAACUCCCAAAGAUCAAACCUAAUGUAGAUAAAUUUAGGAUAACUACAGAGUUCGAGACCUCUACCCCAUAUUCUUUUUGAUAAAACAAACAUCCUUAUUGUUAACUAGUAAUAACUCUAAAUGAUCUAAGGUCCAACUCUUAUAAACAAACAAACAGUCAUUGCAAAAACAAAAGUAAAUAUUAGUCAGUAAGGAUAAACCAAAAUAAGUUAAAAUAAUGUAAUAAAGCUUCUAUCCAAUUGUCAGGAGGAUAAAUCUCCCCAAGUCUCGCUAUUCAAAGGGAUGAGUAAAGGUAUGAGGGUUCACUUUGAGACUCUUUGGCUCCGGUGUGUGUAACAUGCAAAGAAAAAAAAUAAAAGAAUAAAAUUAGCAGAGGACUUAAAUCUUCAACAAGCAUGAAGAAAAUGAAACAAUGAAGCUAGGCACAAGACAAGAUUGCUUUGAGUGUGUGUCCCAAGUAUUAUAGAGACAAGGAACAGAUCUCAAAAACUUCAAAUAGGAUACAUAUUGCAAGGAAAGGAUGCUUUUAUAAAGCUUAAGAACGUAAUAUUUACCCAGUAUAUAUACUUGUAAGGAACUAGGAAUGGGGCAUACUUUUAAAUAUAUGUGUCACUUUAACGUGCUUUCAAUCAGUUGGGUCAAACUACUGCUACUCCAUAAGUAAUAUUUAAUUAAUUAAUUUAAAUAGUAACAAAUACUUUUAACAAGAUCCAUGUUCACAUACUAUUUAAAAUAGUGAGUCAGUAUCUUAAACAAUAUUUUAGCAGAGUAUUUCUUCCAUAUGACAUUUAAAUAAGUAAAUAGUGGCUAAUUCAUAAAAAUUCAUGGCCUACAAACAUGAUUCUUAAAUAGUUGAAAACGACAUAUUACCUAAAGGUUUAAUAAUAGGAUGUACUAUGAGCAAAUUCCAUACGCAGGUUCAUAUGAGAAUUUAGUCAAACACAUGCCAUUCUUAUUCAAUCUUUCUAUUGUCAGAAUACGCAAUGAACCACAAAUCAUGGUUUUUCAAUAAAAUAAUUCCUAAAACAUGAUUUUUAUAUAGAAAGCAAGUCACAUUCUUAAGCAAGCAUUUAUUAUGGAACUCAAAAAAAAUAUAAAUAAAAAAAAGGGAUAAGGAAAUUUUAAAGCUAACGGACCUGCUUGGGGUAGGUAAACCGAGGGCGGCGUAAAGAAGAUCUACUAUCACCGACUUUUGAUCAACUCCGUUUGAAGAUCGUCAAAUGCCGACAUAAAUAAAUUGAAAGUUUUGGCAUGGCUCUAGUUUUUGGAGUAAAAGGGGCGGCUCAACCUUAAGGUUAAAGAAGGGGGCCGAACCUUGUGAGUUUAAAGAGAGGUGCAACGGCUUCAAAAGCUCUCCCUCCAAUAUAUUUCAAAUGCAAGUAUUUAUAGGUGAAGAAGUGGGGUUCAUGGGCAGAAUUUUUACCUCUAACAUUUGAAAUUAAGAGCGUGGGGUUUCGAACAGUAAAAUAGUCGUUCAUCAUUUAAUGAGCGAGAUUUGAGCAGAUUUGUUUCAGAUUUGCUUGAGACUUUGAGCAGAUUUGUUUCAAAUUAAUACCCAAAAUGGUUGGGAUGUUGUGCAACAAGAAAAAGAAAAAAUGGAGAAACUCCACGUGAGCAAAGAGAGAGAAAAGAUCCCAAUUUUUUCUUGGCACUAGAUUUGAGGCGAGAAUUCAUUGUAAUUAAAUGAAAAUUUGAAAUCCAAAAGAGAGAUAUUUUGGUGAUUUUGAAUUUCAAAAAAAAAAAUUGAAACGGUAGUGCUACUGUUCUACCGAAGCUUCACCAAAUGGUGUGACAUAAUAUCUGCCAUAGAAAUUCAA
rnacentral:lncRNA from 1 species